UUGCUGACCUCCUGGUCUACCCUGUACCUGCAAACCUGGGGGAUUAGGGAGAGGGGUGAGCUACUAGAGCCCAGUGAGCAGAAUAAUAAAACUUUUAAAACAUAUGACAACAUGGAAUGCAUCACAUCACAAUCAUAUCACAUCAAUGAUGAAUUUGUCACCAAUAGUCCUCUACAUAGUCCAACUGUGCCAGAACGUAGAAUGGGUCCUGGUCUUUCUCUUACAUGGCAUAACAUAACAGUCCAACUGUGCCAGAACGUAGAAUGGGUCCUGGUCUUUCUCUUACAUAGUGCCAGCGAACGUAGAAUGGGUCCCACUGGUCUUACUUUCCAUAUCGUACAUAUCCUAUCGUCACAUCAUAGGUCGAGGACUAUGGAUCAUCCAACAUUCAUCCACAUCAACAACAAUUUAUGCAAUGCAACAUAUUCGUGAAUUCUAAUGCAACAACCUAGUAUAUCUCAUGGUAUUAAUGAUGCGUGAGUCAUGCUAAAAAUGUCCAUUUAUUUGCUUUAAAACGUAAUAAGUUAUUCCACUCACCUUUGGAUAGCUCUGACCAGACACUGGAGCAGCUGACUCACUGCUG
rnacentral:lncRNA from 1 species